rnacentral:lncRNA from 13 species
CUUUUUAUUCAGCAUAUCAUCAGAUCAAUAAUUAGUCCCCAUACAUUUUAAUAACUAGAGUUUUCACUUAUGAUUGUUUUUCAUAAUUUUGCAUUUAUGUUUGACAAGUUCCUGUUUAGUUUGAAAAGGGAAAAAGAAAGUCAGGGAUUGUUUCUUCUUGUGUCGCGGUGUCUCAAAUCAAAAAGAGCAGAGAAGAUGUGAGCUGGGAAGGGUUCGCUGAAAUCUGAAGGAGGAGCAUGCUGCGAUGAGAGAAGGCCGAGUGUUUACUGCCUCUGGAGGAAAUGAGAACUGCUCAAGUUCCUAUCUCUGCACGUGACUUGUCAGGGGAACUUUUCUCUGAUGCUCACACGAUGUGGGAACUUGUCACAUCUUCAAUCUCUGGGAACAUCCUCACCUGAAAUUGAAAGGACACAGUCUCACCACCAGGAGCUUCUGCCAUAGAGAGAAUUUCUGAGAAGGCUCACAGACCAAUCACUGCUGGGCCACUGGAUUCUAAUUCCCUUCUGACUCCCAGGAGCUUCUGGCUGAUCUGUCUAUCCUUCACAGAGUUUGGGCCACCCUUGAUGACAAUGUCCCCUACAGAAAGAAUCCAAGAGAACCUCACACUUCAGCAACAAGAUUUAGAAUCUAGAAAUUGUUAUUAUUUUGGGAUGUAUGUGAUAAGGGAGAAUUGGGAGUCAAGGGCAAAACCAAGAUAAAAUGGGGAUAAUUGAAGGUGACAGUCCCUGAGAUGAGAACACCUCAGGAGGCACAGAGUUCAGGGGGAAGAUACUAUGUUCUGUUUGGGACAUGUUGAGUUGACAUGUCCAAAAGUACCUGUUGACAUCCAAUUGAAGAGGUCUAACGGAUACCUGGAAAAAUAGGUUCAAAGAUUGAGGCUGAAGAUAUAGAUCUGUCCAUCAGAAUACAAAUUACUUAUAGUCAUGGGAUUGGGUAAAAUCUCCCACAAAAAAUAAGUAUAGACAUACAAGAAAUUGUCGAUAAGGGAACUUGACAGAAGGUUUCCAGGAGAAGUCUAGAGAGAACAGCAUGGAGGUUCAAUUAUUCAAUUGAACAGACAUUUUUGAGUACCCACGGAGUACUCUGUGCCUGACUCUUGUCCCUGUCCUAAAGUCAGAGGGUGGGGAUAGAGUGCCCAUUGCUACAAGUUCCAUAUUAUCACUCAGGGCUUGCAGUAUGUGAGGGGCUGCUUUUCAUUGCAAUCUUAUAGGGACUUGGUUGGCAGUAGUGAUUCUUAUCAGGUCUGGUCUUAGCAGGGCCUAGAAUUGUGGUUUGUAGAGAGAGAUAUAUUUUAACCACAGAUAGUGUCUGCCUUCUGAAACACCCAUAGAGACAGUUACACUAUGUGACAUGAGGUAAAUACAAGCAAUUACUAGAUUUAUAGCUAAGUUAGAAUAACCAAUCCACUCCUGCUUUUCGUUAGUUGGUUAGUUUUGUCAAACUCACAAUAAAACCCUGGGUUGGACCA